rnacentral:lncRNA from 1 species
UAUGUUGUGUGUGUGUGUGUGUAUAUAUAUAUAUAUAUAUAUAUAUAUAUAUAUAUUAUCUACAUAUAUGUUGGGUAGAACAUGGGUAGAUAGCGAUGUGUGAUGAAAUAAAAAUAACGAGAGGCCUCGAUGUGAUUGUGAUCUAGUCAUUCAGCAGAAUAUGGAUGACGACCGUGGACUCUUUCAAGACUGUCUUGUGGAACGCUGGCAGACUCAUAACCUGUAGGUGUAAUGAACUUGGGUGUUCAUUUUGUUGGAUAAGGUGUCUAAGUCCAUAACUUAUUUGGUAUAUACUUGACCCGACCCGGCAUGGUCCAUUUGGGUUGCAUCUCACCCGAACUAUUUAUGGAUAAUUUUAUGAGAGUUAUACACAUAUGUUUAUUAAUAUAUUAUAAGUUAUAAUAUAUUAAUAUGAAGUUAUGUUAUUUAAUUAGUCUUAGUCUUAAAUUAAUUAUGAAUUAAUUUAGAGAUUAAAAGGAAGACUAAUUAGAUUAUGGGCUAUUGGUUUUAUAUGGUGUGGGCUAACACUCAUUUGUUAAUGGGCUAGGCUUAUAUGGAAGUCCAUGGAUGAUCCAUGGAGCUUUUAACCCAUGGAUCCUUGGAAAAGGAAAGGUCAUGGGUUAUUAGGGUUUCACCCUAACCAUGCACACUAUAUAAGCAUGCUUAUGGAGCAUGAAAUGGCAACUAGUGAACUAGUGUGUGUGUGCUUGUGUGUGGCCAAAAAUACAAGUGUGUAUACUCUCUCAAAGUUUUCCAAGAGUUUGUGGUGUUUUGUGAUUCCAUUUGAGGCAUUCACACUAUUGGUGCUUGGCCCUCAAACUCCUUAAGAACCAAACUCAUCAAAAAGGUAUGUAAUCUCUUCUAACUCUUUUAUGUUGAAAUGUUCCCCAUGCCAUGUUAGAUAGGUUAUGAACCUUGGAAAAUUAUUAUUUUGCAUGUAUUUAGACAAACAUAGAUCCAAGGUUUAUUAGGGUUGCAUGCACACUUAGGAAGUGUUAGAUUGCUCAAAACCCAACAGUGGUAUCAGAGCCUAGGCUUGCUUGUUUGAUACUUGAUGCAAAAUAGUGAAAAAAGUUGAAAUUGUUGCUGUCUGGCUGAUGGACUCGCCGAGUCCAUGGGGGGACUCGCCGAGUUCAAGGCAAAAUUCAUCCUACUCGGCGAGUAGGUUCGUGCACUCGGCGAGUAGAAUGAUCAGAAUGCAGAAUUUCGACUUUUGCUGCUGGAAAUGGACUAGAAACAUUACCCUAAACUGUUUUGGUGUUUUAAAACUUGUUUUAGUUGGUGUAAUGGUUGUUCUAAUCCAUUUACAAUAGCAUAUAUCAAAAUUCCAUGAUUUUUAUGUGUUCAUAUAAUUCUUGAAAUUUUGAUGAUCAUGUUCAUGUUCUUAUGAAUUUAGAAGAUGAUAGGAAUUAUUUGCUGAAUUGUUUAGAAUUAAUUCUUGAUCAUUUAUGUGUUUUAAUGGAGUCCAUAAUUUGUCCUCAAGUUAUGGAUAUCCAAAGGUCACUUUUCUUUAACACACACAUUUAAACACAUAAGUUACAUGAAAAUGAAGAGUCUUCAUUUUUAUGAACCUUUAAUUCAUAAGUUAUGAAAUGAAAAGUUUUGGAUAGUUACAAAACUUGCCCUCAAGUUUUGGAAUUUGAAAAGUUUCACACACUUUAAUAAACUUUAAUUCCAACACUUAGAGUUUUAAAAGUUAAAAUUCAACACUUAUACUAUUUAUAACAUUAAUGGUUAAUUAUUAUAUAUAUGUAUAAGAACAAGUCGUUUUACCGUUAGUAGGCCUCAUUCACGAAGCCGGUCUAUAAGGUGGGUAUAAGGUUGUUGCCUAUAAAAUGGCGACUUAAUGGGUGUCCACUCUCACCCACCGCUUGCUUGAUCGGUGGAGGGUCGUUAGCCGAACGGGUAGGACAAUGACUUUAAAUUCUCAUUAAAAGUAUAAUGAUUAUUAUAAAGUAACUAAAAAUUUUUUAUUUAAUUCCCAAUCUUAGUUACUUUAGGAAAAAUGUGAAUUUGGUGCUAGCCCAUGGAAUUCACACUUUGUACCUUACCAAGUCGUUGGUGGAGCGUGUGUGGUUAACCGGCACACUAACUUGGACUAGUAAGGAUCACGAAGGGUGACUUAAUGUUUGUCAUAGAUCAAUGGAGCGUGUGUGGUUAACCGGCACAUUGAUUAGGUGAUAAUAUUAAGGGUACCAAGUGAAUUGGUAUGGUUAUUCACACCUUGUUUUGUGAUCCUCGGCAUCCCAGUCACAAAAUUUGAGAGGGCACACUCGAGAUUGAAACAUGCCAUUGAAAAGUUCAAUGAAUCUCAAAAGAUCUAGGAAUUUCAAAUCCAAUUAAAACCUAAUAAAUUAUUUCGUUUUUCAUGGUGGAAAUUGGUGAAUCGUCAUUCGCCUACCUUCAAAUAUUUUAUAGCUUGGAUUACGGCAUCCCUCUUCCAAAUUAUAAAAUAUUGUGUUGGGUCCUAGCCUUAAUAUUUCAUAUUGGGUGUUAUAUUAAGGACUUUGAAUCAACUAACUUGAUUUUCUCCCAUUAUAGAUGUCUGGUUCAGACAACUAUGAUCUUCCCAAAUCUCUUGAAGAUGGUGUCCCUCAACAUCAUGCUUCACUUCCUCCACCUCCUCCAAUUAUUCUCCCUCACCCACAAGUUCUUGAAAAGUUUAAAGUCACUCAAUCCCUAUUGGCAAGCAUAGUCUAUGUGUGCUCACAUCUUGGAGAUAAAGUCACAUAUUGACAAGCCGGGAGAGUUGGGUGUCAAAGUCUCGUGAAAGUUGGAUGUUCAAUCACUUUCUUAGUAACAUAGUGAGUCUCUUUGGGACUACUAUGAGACAGACUAUGACAUGACCCUUAAUGAUGUUAUCUAUUUGCUUGGUGUUGUGGAAUCAGCAAUGAUUUGGAACACCAGUAAAGCAAAUUUGAUUAAAAGAACAACUUCCCAAGUCUUAAAUGGACAUUGACAAUGGUAGCAUUGGAUAUCUAGAAAAGGAUUUCUCUUCCCAAUGGAAAGGGAUCGGCCAUAGUCAACUCGGUUGACCAAAUGGUAAAGAGAAAGGCUAAGUCUGAGAUAGUCUCAUGUGCCAUUACCAAAGGGUCCAUGUGUUUUGUUGCCAAAGGAAGGGGCAUUGGUUGCGAAGCUGCCCUAUUCACCUGAAAGGUCAUAAGGUUGAUCAAGUCAAGAGGUUUGACUCUACUUCGGGUAAAGUCCACUGUCUAACUCUAUUAAGUUCCUAUUUGGAGAUUCUUAUUACAUAAUGUGAAUGGGUCACAUGCUGAUGUUUUUAAGAAUCAAAGAAAAGAUAGGAAGCUUAAAGUAAGUAUAUGUUGAUUCUGAUUGCGAAGGUGGGUUUCGAUCGCAUGGUUCGGUAAUCAGAAUUUUGAGCUGUUGCUUAAGAGUUAUAAUAUAUUGCUUAUGAAUAGAUAACAACAAGGUUUUCAUGUGGAUUGUAAGGAUAAGUUUUUCCGCAAAGUUUUAAAAAAAAAAAAAAAAAGGGUUUUAAUUUUAUUUAUUUUAAAAAUAUCCUUACAAUGGCAUCUGUGGAAAAUUGUUGCUUAUAUGUUUCCAGUAAUAGCAAUAUUGGAAAGUGGAUUUGAUUCUUUCAUUUGUGGUAGUGUCUGAAUUUACCAAAUGAAGAAAGUUUUUCAUCACCCAAGUUUCAAUUGGACAGAAACUUGGAAUCAUACAAGUUGUAUUGUAUGAUGAAUGAGAAUUUUCAUCUUUGAAAAUUAAGACUAAUUCUUUGAUCACAUGUAUAUGUGAGUCAAUUGAAGGACUAAGGAAUUAGGUACACUGGGUGUGCGCUGGUCAAGGUCCACCACAAAGAUUGAUUUGUCAUGAUUUACUAAAGAUUAGUAAAUAUGAUUAUACUUAUGAGGUUAAGUAUAAUUCUGUAACAUUGGAAAGGUUACAAUGUAUGACAAAACAAAUGAGAAGAAUCAAAUUAGGCAGAAAGAUAAAAGUUUCUCAAAUCUGAAAGGAUGGGAGAGUACUUUAGUAUCGUAUUUCAUGAUCAUCUUAAUGAUUAUGAAACCAUAUCACAAAUUCAUACUCUAAGGACGUCUUAGUGCAUUGUUAUGGCUAAGAAGAGAGGUCAUGAAUUGUUGGAUUGGUUAAAAUCAAGAAGAUGAGUCAUACUUCGUUCCAAAACAAUUCUUAGAGUCAUACUCCAAGAUUGUAACUUUGAGUGACAUAAAGGAAGAUUUAUUAACACUAGUCAAAUGUAAGAGUAAAAUGUUUUCUACUCUUGUACAUUUGAGAUUGGUAAGUUGUGAUGUCUUGGAUGAGACAAAGACCAACUAAGACCAAUUGUGUGAAGUGUUAGUCUUGAUAAGAAUCCGCACUAUCCCUUGAAUAUUUGUUUUGUCAAGGAAUGGUUCUUGACUGGGGAAACUUAUAUGUCAAGGGGACAGUGGGAGCCUUAAAGAUCCUGAAAGAGUUUCAAGAUUUAAUCAAGAGUAAAACCUGUAAUUUAUCACUAGCACACGACUUAAGGUUUGCAACCUAUCGUGUUGACAUAAUUCUUAUUUCUGUACCUACUUCAAAUAAGUUGAAUUUGCAUGUGAGUUAUCAGAGUUCAACUUGGAAGCAUUGGUGGGCCUUGUGCUACCAAGGUGACAAGAAACUAAGAUUGAACAAGUUUAAUCCAUGUAAGGCUGAAUUUGUCACUAACCUUAUCUUGUGAUUAUGGUUUUGACAAAUUCACAUGGAUAGGAACUCAUACACUAUAAAAUCUAAGUGUCAUAAGGUUUCUCUCCGAUUCAUGAAAAUGAUGGUGAGGAAACGCUUUCACUAAGUAGAUUUUACGUAGAUAUCAAUUGUGUUAUUUGCAUUUUCAAAAGUCGUUAGUGGAGCGCGUGUGGUUAACCGGCACACUAACAUGGACUUGUGAGAAAUGGCAAAUGCCUAAGCAAUUGAGACUAUGAUUACGGCAUCCCUUUUCAUAGUUCUGAAAAUUGUUUAGACACACAUGUGAGCUAUCUAAGAAAGGGUGUAUGAAUCUAAAUUUCAGAAGUCCAGCAGAUUUCUGGAAAUAUGUCAGAGCUAGUGGGAGCAUAAGUGUUAUGCUGAUAAUCAUCAUGUUAGUGGGAGCAUGAUUAUUACGUUUAGUGUUGCAAGUUAGCAAUGUUAAUUAUAGAAAACAAAGUUUCAAUUCGUGAAGUUGCAGGGGUUGAAAAGUUGUUUUGCUAUAAUUAAGGGAGAGGAAAUUAUACUUCAUUUCAAUUCUAAAGCUUAGAUUGAGAUUUUAAUCAUCUUUAGUCAAGAAUAUAUAUAUGAAUUUUAUGUUGGAAUGGUUCAACUUGAAGAAAUUCUAUAUAUAUUGCGUUUUCAAAAUUCGAUUAUGAUUACGGCAUCCCUCUUCAUAGUUAAAUUUUGAAAACAUGGCAAAUAAAAAAUAUUGUAGCAAAAGACUGGUCUAGUAUCAUGUCUUUAUGUCAAACAUCAUGAAUCGUGUCCCAUAUGCUUCGGAUAUAGGAUCGAUUGCAUGUGCUAUAAUAUUCAUCUUUUCUAAAUUUUCCAAAUGCUUAAGGCAUUGAGAAGGGAAAAGUCUAGAACUGGAUAUGACUAAAGUGAUUAAGCAAUUGUCGAGGACAAUCUGAGGUUCGCCAAAGAUUGGUUGCUCAGGGAAAGUUGGAAGUAUGAUGUAAGUUGUCGGAAAGGACCAUAUUGACAUAUUCUGAAAAGAAGUAACUCUUGUUCGGAAGUGAUAGUCAAAAUGGGACUAUGGAAAUGUCUCCAUAGGUGGAAGUUAUUCAAUCUAUGUAAGAUUAGAAAACCUUAAUGCAAGAAGGAUGUUCAAAGCAAUGUACUUUGAAUAUGAGACUUCCGUUCCAUAGAAGUUGACCUUCUUUGGAAUACUCUGUAAUGACUGGUGACAAGGUUUUGGUGACUUUGUGCAUAAUCAUUACAAGAGGAACAUUGCAUAAAAGUUUAAAAUCUAACAGUUUUUUUGGUAAAUGAUAGGAAUCGGGGAUUCUCACAUUUACAAUAAGGAUUUGGGAUUGUGAAAUGAGUAUCAUUGGAAUCAUGUUCAAUUGAUCUACAUCACAAUGUAAGGAUCAUAGACAAACAUAGUGUGCAUACUUGGAGUAUGGCAUAACUAUUGUUUAGAAAAACAAAGUGUACAUGCUAGGAGCAUGGGACGACUGUUGUUUUUAUUCAAGUCUUAAGUUGAUUGUUUGAAACAUUAUACAAUGAAUAAUGUGUAAUCAAUAUGGUGAUAAAUAAAAGGUGGUUCUAUUUAUAUUCAAAAGGGUUCUGAGACCAUAUUGGAUUCGAUUAUUAUUGUGUUUCACUUUGCAUGUUUUGACUUCCAAAAUAGCUAGGUUAUUCUUUCCGAAUGACUAAGUUAUUUAAACACUCCACAGUCGUUCAUAUGUUGGAAGUAGGUAUGAAUCAAGACUGUCAUGAAUCGAGUUUGUAGAUGGCUAAAUGGGUUUAGUCAUAGCAAUGGUUGCUACAACAUUCAUGAGUGCUCAUAAGUUAUGAGUAUUGGAAUAAACCCACGCUCACUUGUAUCACUUCAUGGAAUUUAUCUCGAGUGAUCGUGAGACGGUAAUAUCAUAUAAAUCUUCAAACCUAGAGAUAUGAGUUGUUACCUAUGAGUUGGUUGUGCAUUGAUUGCACGUAAACGCAUCAGUAACUUGAUGUUAUAAAACGUGCCUUUGUGUACAAUUCAACAAGUAGUAGAACAAGCAUAUGAGUCGAAGUUUAUCUGUUCCUUCUAGAAAUAGAAGCGAUAUCUGGGCCCCUCGAUGAUUUUGUUGUGACCUAUGUACCGGCCGGUCAGAACUAAAUUGAUGUGUUCGAUUAAGUUCUUUGUCAAACAAAUCGAAAAUCGGGAAACAAACUGCUGGACAAUAAGUACGACGUUGUUCCAUGUAUUUGUCCGGCUGAUAUCAUGAGAACAGAGGAUUAUAUGAUCACUUAUCUAAAAUGGCGCUUCAUAGUUCAACAGAGUUUUCGAGAGCUACGAUUGCUGGUUGGUUCCUGAAGUAACAUACGCAAAUAUAGUUAUUAGACUUAUCCAAGUGGGAGUCUGUUGGAUAAGGUGUCUAAGUCCAUAACUUAUUUGGUAUAUACUUGACCCGACCCGGCAUGGUCCAUUUGGGUUGCAUUUCACCCAAACUAUUUAUGGAUAAUUUUAUGAGAGUUAUACACAUAUGUUUAUUAAUAUAUUAUAAGUUAUAAUAUAUUAAUAUGAAGUCAUGUUAUUUAAUUAGUCUUAGUCU